rnacentral:rRNA from 1 species
GUAUUAACUUGUUGGUGGGGUAACGGCCUACCAAGGUGAUGAUACGUAGCCGAACUGAGAGGUUGAUCGGCCACAUUGGGACUGAGACACGGCCAAACUCCUACGGGAGGCAGCAGUAGGGAAUCUUCCACAAUGGACGAAAGUCUGAUGGAGCAACGCCGCGUGAAUGAAGAAGGCCUUCGGGUCGUAAAAUUCUGUUGUCAGAGAAGAACGUGCGUGAGAGUAACUGUUCACGUAUUGACGGUAUCUGACCAGAAAGCCACGGCUAACUACGUGCCAGCAGCCGCGGUAAUACGUAGGUGGCGAGCGUUGUCCGGAUUUAUUGGGCGUAAAGGGAACGCAGGCGGUCUUUUAAGUCUGAUGUGAAAGCCUUCGGCUUAACCGAAGUAGUGCAUUGGAAACUGGAAGACUUGAGUGCAGAAGAGGAGAGUGGAACUCCAUGUGUAGCGGUGAAAUGCGUAGAUAUAUGGAAGAACACCAGUGGCGAAAGCGGCUCUCUGGUCUGUAACUGACGCUGAGGUUCGAAAGCGUGGGUAGCAAACAGGAUUAGAUACCCUGGUAGUCCACGCCGUAAACGAUGAGUGCUAAGUGUUGGAGGGUUUCCGCCCUUCAGUGCUGCAGCUAACGCAUUAAGCACUCCGCCUGGGGAGUACGGUCGCAAGACUGAAACUCAAAGGAAUUGACGGGGGCCCGCACAAGCGGUGGAGCAUGUGGUUUAAUUCGAAGCAACGCGAAGAACCUUACCAGGUCUUGACAUCUUCUGACAAUUCCAGAGAUGGAACGUUCCCUUCGGGGACAGAAUGACAGGUGGUGCAUGGUUGUCGUCAGCUCGUGUCGUGAGAUGUUGGGUUAAGUCCCGCAACGAGCGCAACCCUUAUUGUCAGUUGCCAUCAUUAAGUUGGGCACUCUGGCGAGACUGCCGGUGACAAACCGGAGGAAGGUGGGGAUGACGUCAAAUCAUCAUGCCCCUUAUGACCUGGGCUACACACGUGCUACAAUGGACGGUACAACGAGUCGCUAACUCGCGAGGGCAAGCUAAUCUCUUAAAGCCGUUCUCAGUUCGGAUUGCAGGCUGCAACUCGCCUGCAUGAAGUCGGAAUCGCUAGUAAUCGCGAAUCAGCAUGUCGCGGUGAAUACGUUCCCGGGCCUUGUACACACCGCCCGUCACACCAUGAGAGUUUGUAACACCCAAAGUCGGUGGGGUAACCUUUUGGAGCCAGCCGCCUAAGGUGGGACAGAUGACUGGGGUGAAGUCGUAACAAGGUA